GACGAACGCUGGCGGCGUGCCUAAUACAUGCCAGUAGAACGCUGAAGAGAGGAGCUUGCUCUUCUUGGAUGAGUUGCGAACGGGUGAGUAACGCGUAGGUAACCUGCCUUGUAGCGGGGGAUAACUAUUGGAAACGAUAGCUAAUACCGCAUAACAAUAGGUGACACAUGUCAUUUAUUUGAAAGGGGCAAUUGCUCCACUACAAGAUGGACCUGCGUUGUAUUAGCUAGUAGGUGAGGUAACGGCUCACCUAGGCGACGAUACAUAGCCGACCUGAGGGGGUGAUCGGCCACACUGGGACUGAGACACGGCCCAGACUCCUACGGGAGGCAGCAGUAGGGAAUCUUCGGCAAUGGGGGCAACCCUGACCGAGCAACGCCGCGUGAGUGAAGAAUGUUUUCGGAUCGUAAAGCUCUGUUGUAAGUCAAGAACGAGUGUGAGAGUGGAAAGUUCACACUGUGACGGUAGCUUACCAGAAAGGGACGGCUAACUACGUG
rnacentral:rRNA from 1 species